rnacentral:lncRNA from 10 species
AUCUGCAAGAGAGCAACUGAGCUAUCAUCCACCACACCAACAGGAAGAGCCCUCCAGACAGGGUCCCCUCUCCCCCAGGACACAAGCGUCCAGGUCCCAGCCCCUCCUCCCUCAGACCCAGGAGUCCAGGUGCCAGCCCCUCCUCCCUCAGACCCAGGAAUCUGGGCCCCUGUCCCCUCCUCCCUCAGACUCAGGAGUCUAGGCCCCAGCCCCUCCUCCCUCAGACCCAGGAGUCUAGGCCCCAGCCCCUCCUCCCUCAGACCCAGGAGUCCAGGCCCCAGCCCCUCCUCCCUCAGACCCAGGAGUCUAGGCCCCAGCCCCUCCUCCCUGAGAUCCUUUCGCCCUCCAUCCCUUCUCCCUGCAUCUCUGGGUCUCAAAUCCAUCUCUCCCUGCACUUGCAGAGCUCAGGGCUCCUCCUCUGGGCUGCACAGGGCCCUGUGGCCUCCGCUGAACACUCCUGGGGUAAUACUGCACCAGCCUUUGCUUAUCCCAACAGAGCACACGCCACCCCCCAGGGCAGGGCCAGGCCUGGCUCAGCCAUUUGCCUCCAGCACCCUGGGCAGGGCCACCUCUGUGAUGAUGGAUAAAUGUUUCUCUCCAUCCUGGUCUCCACCUUUGCGUGUGUCUCUCCUCUUGGGUCUCCAUCUCUGUCCCUGUCUCUGCCUCUCUCUGCACCUGCACCACUCAGUCCCUGGGUCUCUUCCGCUCUCCCAUGAGUGAGGGGCUGGGGUGUGGGCUGCGGCUGGGCCCGGAGCUUAGGCGGGAUGGAUGUGUGGGGGCGGUGAGGGGGGACAGGGCUGGGCAGGUUUCAGGAAUGUGGGAGGGACAGGCUGGCUGAGACCUGCCCGGCCUGGAGCCAGAGCCCCCAGCCGCCUCUUGGCCCCCCUCAGUUUGAUACAACAGCAAACGGGAUAAGUCGAGUCAUCUUGCAAAAGGAUAAGGUUGAGGCCCAGGAUCUUGGGAAGCUGGGCACCUGGACUCCUGGGAUCAGAGGGAAGAGGAGGCUGGGGCCUGGUGGAGUAGUUAUUGUAGAAAAACCACCACCCUCCCUCACCCUCUGGGCUGGCAUCCUGGCAUCAGCUCUCAGUGCUUCUUAGAAACUCCCUUCCCUUCUCUGCUCAAUCUGGCCCAGCCCUACCCCUGGGGACCCACUGUUGACCAUGAGUGUGCCAGGGGCCUGGAUUCCCAAGCGCUCACCUCUGGCCCCAGCCUGUCCCCAGGGAGGGGUGACGGGGUCCAGGCUGGUGCCUAAGGCUGGGUCUGAUCUGCAGACAAGUGGAGGCAGAGAGUUCCUCUCUCUUCCCCAAUCUCUCUCAU